AUUGAACGCUGGCGGCAGGCCUAACACAUGCAAGUCGAGCGGUUGAAGGGAGCUUGCUCCUGGAUUCAGCGGCGGACGGGUGAGUAAUGCCUAGGAAUCUGCCUGGUAGUGGGGGACAACGUUUCGAAAGGAACGCUAAUACCGCAUACGUCCUACGGGAGAAAGCAGGGGACCUUCGGGCCUUGCGCUAUCAGUUGAACCUAGGUCGGAUUAGCUAGUUGGUGAGGUAAAGGCUCACCAAGUAGACGAUCCAUAACUGGUCUGAGAUGAUGAUCAGUCACACUGGAACUGAGGCACGGUCCAAACUCCUACGGGAGGCAGCAGUGGGGAAUAUUGGACAAUGGGCGAAAGCCUGAUCCAGCCAUGCCGCGUGUGUGAAGAAGGUCUUCGGAUUGUAAAGCACUUUAAGUUGGGAGGAAGGGUUGUAGAUUAAUACUCUGCAAUUUUGACGUUACCGACAGAAUAAGCACCGGCUAACUCUGUGCCAGCAGCCGCAGUAA
rnacentral:rRNA from 1 species